GCUAGGAUGACUUAGAGUUUAAACUGUCAACUCUUAAUGGUACAUCCAUUAUGUGUCUCAACCUGAUAAAUCCUGUGACUCCUCACAAGGAUUGCCCUGGCCAAGGUCUUACUAAAUUGAAACACAAAGUAUUCUCUCCAAUCUCUUGGAGUGGUCAAUUCCAUCUUGGCUCACACAUCGACUUCACAAGUACUUGACUAUGCCCAGAAAUCUUUCGAUCCUGAAUUAGAAAUUCAGGUAGUCUACCACCAAAGCAUAGUGAGUUGCUUGUAAGUCACCAUGGUGAUCUC
rnacentral:lncRNA from 1 species